UACGUAGGGACCGAGCGUUGUCCGGAUUCAUUUGGGCGUAAAGAGCUCGUAGGCGGCUGCUCAAGUCGAAUGUGAAAACUCGAGGCUCAGCCUCGAGCCUGCAUUCGAUACUGGGCGGCUAGAGUCUGGUAGGGGGAGUCUGGAAUUCCUGGUGUAGCGGUGAAAUGCGCAGAUAUCAGGAGGAACACCGGUGGCGAAGGCGGGGUCUCUGGGCAGUAACUGACGCUGAGGAGCGAAAGCGUGGGGGAGCAAACAGG
rnacentral:rRNA from 1 species